GGAAGUAAAGGCAAUUUAAACAUUAAGUACAUAGUAAACCCGGUCGCAGGAAAUUUCUUUAAAAAAAGCGUAAAGAUGUUAAAAACCGUUUCUACAACUAGGUACAAAUUUCUCGACAAUUUGAUUGAUUAAAAAAAGCAUAUGAUUGAUAAAUGGCAACAAAUCGGUUAUGGGUUGUAUGUUUGAGGCGGCCGACCGUUUAGUUGUCGGGCCGGCCACGAGGCCCGACCCUCGCCCGGCACCCUCCGCGGGUCGGCUUCAGUCGGGUAGAAACCGGGAACGCGGAUCGACGGUCGUCGGCCCGUCGAAACUUCGCCGUAUUUCGCGAUCUCAACAAUUCGUCAUGAACAAGUGCCGUUGAACAAGAGGGAAAAAAAUGGUCGACUACAACACUGUCAUCGAAGGAUCCGUGAAAUUCCGCGACGGCAAAAAGUGGAAAUCGAGAUGGUGCGUCAUGAGAAAACUCUCGCCAGUCGCAGGUAAAUCCAAAAUUUCAAAAGAUACGGCAUGUCCUUCGAUUUGCAUACCUGGAGGAUUAGUUCAUUACGCUGAGAUUAAACACCUGACCAAAUGAACAUAAAACAUGAAGAUUAUAUAUUCAAUUUAUCGAAA